rnacentral:rRNA from 1 species
UACGUAGGGCGCGAGCGUUGUCCGGAAUUAUUGGGCGUAAAGAGCUCGUAGGCGGCCUGUUGCGUCUGCUGUGAAAUCCCGGGGCUUAACCCCGGGCGUGCAGUGGAUACGGGCAGGCUGGAGGCAGGCAGGGGAGAAUGGAAUUCCCGGUGUAGCGGUGAAAUGCGCAGAUAUCGGGAGGAACACCAGUGGCGAAGGCGGCCUUCUGGACCAGUACUGACGCUCAUGCACGAAAGCGUGGGGAGCAAACAGG